AAAGAUUUAUCGGUGAUGGAUGGGGAUGCGUCUGAUUAGCUUGUUGGCGGGGUAACGGCCCACCAAGGCGACGAUCAGUAGGGGCUCUGAGAGGAAGGUCCCCCACAUUGGAACUGAGACACGGUCCAAACUCCUACGGGAGGCAGCAGUGAGGAAUAUUGGUCAAUGGGCGAGAGCCUGAACCAGCCAAGUAGCGUGAAGGAUGAAGGUCCUACGGAUUGUAAACUUCUUCUAUGCGGGAAUAAAGUAUCCUACGUGUAGGAUUUUGUAUGUACCGUAUGAAUAAGCAUCGGCUAACUCCGUG
rnacentral:rRNA from 1 species